AUUGAACGCUGGCGGCAGGCCUAACACAUGCAAGUCGAGCGAGUGGCGGACGGGUGAGUAAUGUAUGGGGACUGCCCGAUAGAGGGGGAUAACUACUGGAAACGGUGGCUAAUACCGCAUACUAUCGGAUAACCCAUAUGGGAUUCGCUAGUUGGUGGGGUAAAGGCUCACCAAGGCCACGAUCCCUAGCUGGUCUGAGAGGAUGAUCAGCCACACUGGGACUGAGACACGGCCCAGACUCCUACGGAGGCAGCAGUGGGGAAUAUUGGACAAUGGGCGAAAGCCUGAUGCAGCCAUGCCGCGUGUAUGAAGAAGGCCUUAGGGUUGUAAAGUACUUUCGGCAGAGAAGCGUUACCCGCAGAAGAAGCACCGGCUAACUCCGUGCCAGCAGCCGCGGUAAUUC
rnacentral:rRNA from 1 species